rnacentral:rRNA from 1 species
GACGUAGGGCGCGAGCGUUGUCCGGAUUUAUUGGGCGUAAAGAGCUCGUAGGCGGCUUGUCGCGUCGUCCGUGAAAACCCACAGCUCAACUGUGGGCUUGCGGUCGAUACGGGCAGGCUAGAGUUCGGUAGGGGAGACUAGAAUUCCUGGUGUAGCGGUGAAAUGUGCAGAUAUCAGGAGGAACACCGGUGGCGAAGGCGGGUCUCUGGGCCGAUACUGACGCUGAGGAGCGAAAGCGUGGGGAGCGAACAGG